rnacentral:rRNA from 1 species
UAGAUGAACGGUCUACCACCGGGAUGUUCAUAACCCUUUGUUGUCCGACUCUGUUGCCUCCGGGGCGACCCUGCCUUCGGGCGGGGGCUCCGGGUGGACACUUCAAACUCUUGCGUAACUUUGCAGUCUGAGUAAAUUUAAUUAAUAAAUUAAAACUUUUAACAACGGAUCUCUUGGUUCUGGCAUCGAUGAAGAACGCAGCGAAAUGCGAUAAGUAAUGUGAAUUGCAGAAUUCAGUGAAUCAUCGAAUCUUUGAACGCACAUUGCGCCCCCUGGUAUUCCGGGGGGCAUGCCUGUUCGAGCGUCAUUUCACCACUCAAGCCUCGCUUGGUAUUGGGCAACGCGGUCCGCCGCGUGCCUCAAAUCGACCGGCUGGGUCUUCUGUCCCCUAAGCGUUGUGGAAACUAUUCGCUAAAGGGUGCUCGGGAGGCUACGCCGUAAAACAAACCCAUUUCUAAGGUUGACCUCGGAUCAGGUAGGGAUACCCGCUGAACUUAAGCAUAUCAAUAAGGCGGAGGACCCUGAAAUUAAACAGACACUAACCCAGAGAGAAUUCAAACAUAAGUAGAAAAAAAUAAAUAAAAACAGAAAAAUAA